ACAUUGUACCGCUGUGGCCUGGGGCUGUCCAUGAUGCCAGAAUCUUAAGGCAAAGUGGCCUAUUUCAAAUCAUGGAGCAGAAUGUUGUCGAUGACCAACAUCAAUAUCUACUUGGGGAUUCGGGAUAUCCGUGCAAGAGAUGGCUCCUCACUCCAUUUAUGAAUCCAGCUGAUGAGCACCAGCUGAUUUACAACCGGGCACACAAACGUACGAGAUCUGUUGUUGAGCGCUCCAUAGGGAUUUUGAAAAGGAGAUGGGCGAUUCUGCACAAUGAAAUUAGAUUGCAUCCAUUAAAGUCAUGCAAGGUGAUUUUGGACAUAGAUGCCUUACCAGAUCAUCCUGAAAAUUACCAUGGAAAUGAAGAUGGCCUUCGUUACAGGAAUGUAGUAGCAAAUACAUUUUUUUAGAUCAUAGGUGUCGUGAUCUGAGAAAACUAGGCAUAAUGCAUGUGCGUAAAGUGUCAUCCCAGAUUAGCCCAGAUAUUGCAGUCCACACAGAAUAAUCAGGGACUACACUUUACGCCUAAAUUGGAUUUUUGCUAAGAAGAGACUUCAUUUAAACGAAAAAUGUAAAAGCGAGUGUGUGGACUGCACAGUCUUAUCUGUGACGUCACUUGACCCACAUGCAUUAUGCCCAGUUUUCUCAGAACGCAACUCAUAUUCACAUUGAAUAAGUCAUGUUUUCAGACCUGUUAAUUCAAAUGACUUGCAUUUUUAAUUGAAA